rnacentral:rRNA from 1 species
UUGAUUCUUCGGAUGAUUUUCAGUUGACUGAGCGGCGGACGGGUGAGUAACGCGUGGGUGACCUGCCCCAUACCGGGGGAUAACAGUUAGAAAUGACUGCUAAUACCGCAUAAGCGCACAGUGCUGCAUGGCACAGUGUGAAAAACUCCGGUGGUAUGAGAUGGACCCGCGUUGGAUUAGGCAGUUGGCGGGGUAACGGCCCACCAAACCGACGAUCAGUAGCCGGCCUGAGAGGGCGACCGGCCACAUUGGGACUGAGACACGGCCCAAACUCC